GACGAACGCUGGCGGCGUGCUUAAUACAUGCAAGUCGAGCGAGGUCCAUCUGGUGGCAACACCAGUGAAGGCCGAGCGGCGAACGGGUGAGUAACACGUGAGCAACCUGCCCCGAAGUCUGGAAUAACAUCGGGAAACCGGUGCUAAUACCGGAUCGCCCCACCUCGACCGCAUGAUCGGGUGGAGGAAAGAUUUAUCGCUUCGGGAGGGGCGUCGCGGCCUAUCAGCUAGNGGUGGGGGUAACGGCCUACCAAGGCGUCGACGGGUAGCUGGUCUGAGAGGACGACCAGCCACACUGGGACUGAGACACGGCCCAGACUCCUACGGGAGGCAGCAGUAGGGAAUCUUGCGCAAUGGGCGAAAGCCUGACGCAGCAACGCCGCGU
rnacentral:rRNA from 1 species